GCGUUCGUAGUUUAAGGGUAGAAUUCGAGCUUCCCACCCCGUUGGAUAUGCUCGAGGACCGAGUUCGAGUCUCGGCGAGCGCA